rnacentral:rRNA from 1 species
UACGAAGGGGGCUAGCGUUGCUCGGAAUUACUGGGCGUAAAGGGCGCGUAGGCGGACAGUUAAGUCAGAGGUGAAAGCCCAGGGCUCAACCCUGGAAUUGCCUUUGAUACUGGCUGUCUUGAGUACGGGGAGAGGUGAGUGGAACUCCGAGUGUAGAGGUGAAAUUCGUAGAUAUUCGGAAGAACACCAGUGGCGAAGGCGACUCACUGGCCCCGUUACUGACGCUGAGGCGCGAAAAGCGUGGGGGAGCAAAACAGG